UUUUACAUAAUCAAAGGUUAAAUUAAAAUUCUCAUUUUUCUCUUAGACAAAUUUAAGAAAGUCUUACAAAGUUAUAAUAUUUUCAUUUGUAUAAUUUAACGAGAACACGUUUCUUUUGAAUUUCGGGAACACGUGGAAGUUAAAGAAGACCUCAAGUGGCUUCACAUUAGGCCUCUGCUUUUGAUCUUGCUCUUCCAAUUCAUCCUCUUCAUUAGAGGGAGGAAGAUCAAUACCUUCCGUGUAUGUGGAAGCUUUUGGAGCAGAUUUCGGCUUUAGCUUACUCGUGGAAGAAGAUGCUUUUUUAGGUUUAUCUGCUUUUUCAUCCAUAUUUGCCAACAUGGCAGAGACAGAAAAGUUUCCCUUAGAAACAUCUUUGCUAUUUGCUUUGGCCUCCGUAGAUGCACCGCAUCCAACAUCAUCAAAUUCGAGUUUUUAAACAAAUUAGUUUUAGCCAGGUAAAUUUAAAGUGUAAAUUUGUUUAAUUCACCUGAUAUUAAAAUAAAUAUAUAAAUGACAUAAUAUUUUUAUAAUACCA
rnacentral:lncRNA from 1 species